rnacentral:rRNA from 1 species
UUUCCGAGGCAUCUACGUGCGGUCGAAGAAUUCUUCGGAAUUGUGGCGGACGGGUGAGUAACGCGUGAGAAUCUGCCUCGAGGAUGGGGACAACAGUUGGAAACGACUGCUAAUACCCAAUGUGCCGUAUGGUGAAAUAAUUUAGCCUUGAGAGGAGCUCGCGUCCGAUUAGUUAGUUGGUGGGGUAAUGGCUUACCAAGGCAGCGAUCGGUAGCUGGUCUGAGAGGAUGAGCAGCCACACUGGGACUGAGACACGGCCCAGACUCCUACGGGAGGCAGCAGUGGGGAAUUUUCCGCAAUGGGCGAAAGCCUGACGGAGCAAUACCGCGUGAGGGAGGAAGGCUUUUGGGUUGUAAACCUCUUUUUUAAAGGAAGAAGAAAGUGACGGUACUUUAAGAAUCAGCAUCGGCUAACUCCGUGCCAGCAGCCGCGGUAAUACGGAGGAUGCAAGCGUUAUCCGGAAUCAUUGGGCGUAAAGCGUCCGCAGGUGGUUCAUCAAGUCUGCUGUUAAAGACAGAAGCUCAACUUCUGGUCAGCGGUGGAAACUGGUGAACUAGAGUACGGUAGGGGUUGAGGGAAUUCCCAGUGUAGCGGUGAAAUGCGUAGAUAUUGGGAAGAACACCAGUGGCGAAGGCGCUCAACUGGGCCGUAACUGACACUCAGGGACGAAAGCUAGGGGAGCGAAAGGGAUUAGAUACCCCUGUAGUCCUAGCUGUAAACGAUGAACACUAGGCGUUGCUUGUAUCGACCCGAGCAGUGCCGUAGCCAACGCGUUAAGUGUUCCGCCUGGGGAGUACGCACGCAAGUGUGAAACUCA